rnacentral:rRNA from 1 species
CUGGCGGCGUGCCUAAUACAUGCAAGUCGAACGGUCUUUCUAUGGAAGCUUGCUUCCACUGGGAAGGAUAGUGGCGAACGGGUGAGUAACACGUGGGUAACCUGCCCAUAAGAGGGGGAGUAACAUCCGGAAACGGGUGCUAAUACCGCAUAGUUUUCUUGAUUGCAUGAUUGAGAAAGGAAAGACGGCCUUUGUGCUGUCGCUUAUGGAUGGACCCGCGGCGUAUUAGUUAGUUGGUGAGGUAACGGCUCACCAAGACGAUGAUACGUAGCCGACCUGAGAGGGUGAUCGGCCACAUUGGGACUGAGACACGGCCCAAACUCCUACGGGAGGCAGCAGUAGGGAAUCUUCCGCAAUGGACGAAAGUCCGACGGAGCAACGCCGCGUGAGUGAAGAAAGGGUUUUCGGAUCGUAAAACUCUGUUGUCAGAGAAGAACAAGUUGGAGAGUAACUGCUCCAGCCUUGACGGUAUCUGACCAGAAAGCCACGGCUAACUACGUGCCAGCAGCGGC